rnacentral:rRNA from 1 species
UACGUAGGGCGCGAGCGUUAUCCGGAAUUAUUGGGCGUAAAGAGCUCGUAGGCGGUCUGUCGCGUCGAAUGUGAAAACCCGGGGCUCAACCCCGGGCCUGCAUUCGAUACGGGCAGACUAGAGUUCGGUAGGGGAGUCUGGAAUUCCUGGUGUAGCGGUGGAAUGCGUAGAGAUCGGGAAGAACAUCAGUGGCGAAGGCGGUCUGCUGGGCCGUUGCUGACGCUGAGGCGCGACAGCGUGGGGAGCAAACAGG